rnacentral:tRNA from 1 species
GCGGCCAUGGACGUUCCGGCGGACAAGCGCUGAACGUCUCACGAACGUCCUGAACGGCUCAUGAACGUUCUGCACCUUCAGGGCCGUGC